CUGCCCAUCAAUCUGUGAAGGGUUAUAAGGCCAUUUCCAAACAAUUUAAAGUCCAUCAUUCUACAGUGAGGACACUUAUUCACAAGUGGAAAACAUUCAAGACAGUUGCCAAUCUUCCCAGGAGCGGACGUCCCAGCAAAUUCACCCCAAGGUGAUGAUUUGGGCUUGUUUUGCAGCCACAGGACCUGGGCACCUUGCACUCAUUGAGUCGACCAUGAACUCCUCUGUAUACCAAAGUAUUCUAGUGUCAAAUGUGAGGCCAUCUGUCUGACAGCAAAGCUUGGCCAAAAUUGGGUCAUGCAACAGGACAAUGAUCCCAAGCACACCAGCAAAUCUACAAUGGAAUGGCUGAAAAAGAAAAGAAUCAAGAUGUUGCAAUGGCCCAGUCAAAGUCCAGGCCUCAACCUGAUUGAAAUGCUGUGGCGGGACCCUAAGAGAGCUGUGCAUAAACAAAUGCCCGCAAACCUCAAUGAACUGAAGCAAAGU